rnacentral:rRNA from 1 species
GAGAGAUACGGAGGUAGAGCACUGAAUGUCCUAGGGGGUAUUGCACCUACCGAAGACUAUCAAACUCCGAAUGCCGUCAUCUUAUACUUGGGAGUCAGACUGUGGGGGAUAAGAUUCAUAGUCGAAAGGGCAACAGCCCAGAUCGUCAGCUAAGGUCCCUAAAUGUAAGUUAAGUGGGAAAGGAUGUGGGAUUGCACAGACAACCAGGAUGUUGGCUUAGAAGCAGCCACUCAUUCAAAGAG